CAGUAGCCGCGGGAAUACAGAGGGUGCGAGCGUUAAUCGGAUUUACUGGGCGUAAAGCGUGCGUAGGCGGCUUUUUAAGUCGGAUGUGAAAUCCCUGAGCUUAACUUAGGAAUUGCAUUCGAUACUGGGAAGCUAGAGUAUGGGAGAGGAUGGUAGAAUUCCAGGUGUAGCGGUGAAAUGCGUAGAGAUCUGGAGGAAUACCGAUGGCGAAGGCAGCCAUCUGGCCUAAUACUGACGCUGAGGUACGAAAGCAUGGGGAGCAAACAGGAUUAGAUACCCCAGUAGUCCCUGUAUCUUAUAA
rnacentral:rRNA from 1 species